UCCUGGAGGGCGAGGACGCCCACAUGUCUUCCCACUACGCCUCGCAGCCUGUGAAAGAAGCACCCGUAACUACCCGCCAAAUCCGCACGAUCUUCGAGGAAGUGCAGGACGGGAAGGUGAUUUCCUCCCGCGAGCAGAUCACCCAGGCUGCCCGCUAAGCCGCCAGCGUGGUUUCCUGCAAACCUCCCGUGGCAAAGCUCAAGAAGAUGCCAGCUUGUGUGCUCCGG